UUGGAGGGCAAGUCUGGUGCCAGUAGCCGCGGUAAUUCCAGCUCCAAUAGCGUAUAUUAAAGUUGUUGCAGUUAAAAAGCUCGUAGUUGAAUUUCGGGAUUGACGUGAUGGUCAUGCCUUAAGGGGUAUGAACUGUCACUGUUGAUUUCUCACCUCCUGGAGAAACUUGAUGUCCUUUAUUGGGUGUCUUGCGGAUCCAGGACCUUUACCUUGAAAAAAUUAGAGUGUUUAAAGCAGGCAUUUUUGCUCGAAUACAUUAGCAUGGAAUAAUAGAAUAGGACGGCAUGGUUCUAUUUUGUUGGUUUCUAGGAUCACCGUAAUGAUUAAUAGGGAUAGUUGGGGGCAUUAGUAUUCAAUUGUCAGAGGUGAAAUUCUUGGAUUUAUUGAAGACUAACUACUGCGAAAGCAUUUGCCAAGGAUGUUUUCAUUAAUCAAGAACGAAAGUUAGGGGAUCGAAGACGAUCAGAUACCGUCGUAGUCUUAACCAUAAACUAUGCCGACUAGGAAUCAGACGAUGUUAAUUUUUUAAUGACUCGUUUGGCACCUUACGGGAAACCAAAGUGUUUGGGUUC
rnacentral:rRNA from 1 species